CGAGUUGGCCGGGCGGUCGCGUCGGCGCCGGGGCGCGAGUCCUGGUGCCGCCGAGGAACGUCCGGGCUCCACAGGGCGGGGUGGUGGGUAACGCCCACCCGGGGUGACCCGCGGGACAGUGCCACAGAGAAGAGACCGCCGGUGCCCUUGGGCGCCGGUAAGGGUGAAACGGUGCGGUAAGAGCGCACCAGCGCCCGGGGUGACCCGGGCGGCUCGGUAAACCCCACCCGGAGCAAGGUCAAGAGGCCCCGGCCGGUCACGGCCGCGGCUGCGCAGGCGUUCGAGGGCUGCCCGCCCGAGCCUGCGGGUAGACCGCUGGAGGCCGCCGGCAACGGCGGUCCUAGAUGGAUGACCGUCACCGGCAAGCCGCAAGGCGACCCGGAACAGAACCCGGCGUACAGGCCAACUCGUCCG
rfam:Frankia sp. Cc1.17 contig_80, whole genome shotgun sequence.